CAGUUGGGGCCUGCAGCCAUUUCUGGGAGGCAGUGGCAAGAAAGUAGCAAUGGGAGAGGAUCACAUGUAUUUAAAUGAUAACAGAGAAAUUCUCUUCAAUGGAGAAACACUUCCAAGCACUCAAAAUUGCAGAUGGUGGGAGUGUGAGGAAAGUGAGGAGAAACCAUGAAGACACAGAGCAAAGCUUCUAACAGCAUUCAGGAAAAAGCUUCCUGUCUUCAAAUUGGGCAUUUUGCUUUCCUGGAGUGUCAGAAUGGAGUGAUGUUCCUUGGCCACCCAAACUCCUAACUCUUAACAUUAGUAGAUGAAUGUUUGCCAAAAUGUCCCUGUAGCAUUAAAGAUG
rnacentral:lncRNA from 1 species